CCUACGGGUGGCAGCAGUGGGGAAUAUUGCUCAAUGGGGGAAACCCUGAUGCAGCAACGCCGCGUGAGUGAAGAAGUCUCUAGGUAUGUUAAGCUCCAUCAGCCGGGAAGUAGAAAGACGGUACCUGACUAAGAAGCACCGGCUAACUACGUACCAGCAGCCGCGGUAAUACGGAGGGGGCAAGCGUUAUCCGGAUUUACUGGGUGUAAGGGGAGGGUAGACGGGUGUGCAGGUCUGAAGUGAAAGCUCGUGGCUCAACCGCAGAACUGCUUUUGAUACUGUAUGGCUUGAGUACUGGAGAGGCAGGCGGAAUUCGUAGUGUAGCGGUGAAAUGCGUAGAUAUUAGGAGGAACACCGGUUGCGAAGGCAGCCUGCUGGACAGCAACUGACGUUGAGGCUCGAAAGUGUGGGGAUCAAACAGGAUUAGAUACCCGUGUAGUC
rnacentral:rRNA from 1 species